rnacentral:rRNA from 1 species
GAUGAACGCUGGCGGCGUGCCUAAUACAUGCAAGUCGAACGAAACUUCUUUAUCACCGAGUGCUUGCACUCACCGAUACAGAGUUGAGUGGCGAACGGGUGAGUAACCCGUGUGCAGCCUGCCCAAAAGAGGGGGAUAACACUUGGAAACAGGUGCUAAUACCGCAUAACCAUAGUUACCGCAUGGUAACUAUGUAAAAGGUGGCUAUACUACCGCUUUUGGAUGGGCCCGCGGCGCAUUAGCUAGUUGGUAGGGUAAAGGCUUACCAAGGCAAUGAUGCGUAGCCGAAUUGAGAGGGUGAUCGGCCACAUUGGAACUGAGACACGGCCCAGACUCCUACGGGAGGCAGCAGUAGGGAAUCUUCCACAAUGGGCGAAAGCCUGAUGGAGCAACGCCGCGUGGGUGAAGAAGGUCUUCGGAUCGUAAAACCCUGUUGUUAGAGAAGAAAGUGCGUGAGAGUAACUGUUCACGUUUCGACGGUACCUAAACAGAAAGCCACGGCUAACUACGUG